rnacentral:rRNA from 1 species
AUACGUAGGUGGCAAGCGUUGUCCGGAAUUAUUGGGCGUAAAGGGUGCGUAGGCGGCAGUUUAAGUGGGAUGUGAAAUACCUGGGCUUAACUCAGGAAUUGCAUUCCAAACUGGACUGCUAGAGUGCAGGAGAGGAAAGUGGAAUUCCCAGUGUAGCGGUGAAAUGCGUAGAGAUUGGGAGGAACACCAGUGGCGAAGGCGACUUUCUGGACUGUAACUGACGCUGAGGCACGAAAGCGUGGGGAGCAAACAGGAUUAGAUACCCUGGUAGUCCACGCUGUAAACUAUGAGUACUAGGUGUGGGGGGCGAAGCCCUCUGUGCCGCAGUUAACACAAUAAGUACUCCGCCUGGGAAGUACGAUCGCAAGAUUAAA